ACCUGUAUUCACCCCUGUACAAGCACUUAGGUACAAGAUAAUACAAACACUCUCUCCUCCGCUGGACGUAGGGCCUUCUCUUGCCUGAACCAGGAUAAAUUUUUGUGUCUUUUCUUGCAUCACCAUCUGGAAAGGGGAGCACGCACUAGUUUUACUCGUUGGUGUGCCCCCCGGGGGGAAAACACCGACAGCUGGUCUAUUUGAGCUCCACAGAAUUUAAGAAUCAAGAAGACUAGCAGACGGAGAACAUUGUAAUCGCUGUCAGGAUAUUGCCGACUUUUAAAUAUACCUCUGCCACCUGCUAGCUAGAUCAGAAGAAAUUACGUCAAAAUUCAGCUUGGGGGAGAGCACUUCCAUUUAUCUCGCUAAGUAUUUCUAUCUAUCUUUAUACUUAUACUAUAUUAAAAUAUAAAUAUAUAUAACUAUAAAAAACCAAAUAAAGAUUUUGUGCUUAUAUAUAUAUAUCUUUUGAUUAGUUUGCUUAAUAAAUAAAUAAAGUGGCUAUGCUAAACUGAAUCUUAAUAAUAAAACUCUAGAAUGAAUAUGAUGAAUAGUUGCUCUGUCUAAUUUUCAAUUUUGAGUUCUCUCUCAAGUUGAGACAUAACUGUUAUAAUUUAAAGCUUACUCUAAACCUGAACUUGUGGGAAGAGAACUUGAUCUGAAGUCUAAGUUGUUAACGGAUACGAUAUGGGAAGGUUGAGCUGCUGUUUAUCUAUUCCUAGAGAUGCUAAAAUUCUAGAGAAUUUUAUCUUUCAAAAUCUUUAAAAUAUUGCAUGAUGAGUUCCAGUAUGAUGAGAGUUUAAAUUCCUACCACAGCCAUAUAUACAUGCUUGCUAGACUUUGAGCCACACAUUUAUUUUUUUUUACUACUUAUGAGCAUUGAGUAUGGUCAAGCUGUGUAAACCCUAAGGAGCUUGUCAUGUGGUUAAAUCAAGAUUCACUUGCACGUUCACUCACUCAUGCUGCUUCUACUCUGGAAGUACGCAUACUCACUCAUGCUGCUUCUACUCUGAAGUACGCAUCCACAUAUAUCCACCCAUUUCCAUGUCCAGAACUACCCAAAAAUAUUCUACUCCUAAUCCAGGAGAGAAUAGCCAGAAACAUUUCUGCAUUUCCCCUGUAAAAUAAAUGCUCGAGUUAUCUUGAUUACUACCACUUGCUAUUUUAUUUCAAGAGAUGAGUGCUCUAAAAAAAGAUAAAAAGAAAAGAUACAAGGAAAUAAAAAGGGGCAAGUGCCCGGUAGCUCGAAAGAAAAGAAAAAGUUAGACGAGAGGUAAAAAUGGACAAGUGUCCGACAGUAGAAUUAGGGGUACAAAAUACCCACCAUAGAGGAAAGAAAAAGAAAAUAUAGAGCAUCUCAUCCUCCUCAAGUUUCAAAAGAGCAAGAAAGGUAUGUAUCCCCUCAAAAGAGCAAAAGUAGAAUUAGACUUUCACCAUUGUUAUCACCAUCAUCACCACACACCAUUCAUUCGCCACACAUGGACAUCUUCAUUUGACUUAUUGGCUUGUUUCUUUGGAUCCAUGGUUUGACUAUGCAAUAAAUGUCUUGUGAGUAUGUAUACUUUAUCUCCCAGCUAUGGGCCCCAUAUAUAGAAGCCUUACUAGAGUAGGAUGAGAGAGAAGGCAAUGUCACUAUGCCUUAUAUCAUAAAUACUACAUAUUUUGAGAGAAGGCAUAUACCAUCACUGCCUUGGUAAGGAUCCAGAAAUACCACAAAAG
rnacentral:lncRNA from 1 species